AUCAGUAGAUGCCUAAUCACCUAACAUGCAUCAAUAGAUGUCUGGUCAUUGUCCUUUUCCAUAACUGCAUCCAUCAGUAGAUGUUGUGCAAGCAUCCAUCAGUAGAUGUUGUCAUUACUGCCAUCAGAAACAACAUAUAACCUAAAAAAAAGAACUCAAACACACAUAAACAAACUCAAAUCCAAAUCACACAAAUAAUAAAUUAAAAAGAAAAAAUAAAAAAAUAAAACAAAAUAAAACCAAAUAAAAGAUAAAAAAAUUAGGAAUUGUGUUGCCUCCCAACAAGCGCUUCUUUAACGUCACUAGCUUGACCCAAUAAGCUUAAUCAAUAGCAUCCUUCAAUAGACGCUUGAUCACAUGUAGCUGCCCGGUGCCUCAAUUGCUUCCUUUUCCUGGGCAAUUUUUUUUUCUUUUUGUUGAAUUUCUUUAGGAAUUUAAUAUAACCAGGAACUUGUUGUUGUGUUC
rnacentral:lncRNA from 1 species